AGUGGUAUAACUGGGUCAAAUGGUGAUUUCAUUCUUAGUUUUUUGAGAAAUCUCUACAUUGCUUUCCAGAGCAGUUUGCAUCAAUUUGAAGUCCCACCAGCAAU
rnacentral:pre_miRNA from 1 species